AUGAAGGCGUCCAUUCACACUGUAUUCCUGUUCUCCUGGCUGUGGAUGGACUGGGAGAGCCAUGGAGAGAAGGUUGAGCAGGUUCUUUCUACACUGAGUGUUGUAGAGGGAGACACCGCUGUCAUCAACUGCACGUACACAGACAGUGCUUCAUCAUACUUCCCUUGGUACAAGCAAGAAGCUGGAAAGAGUCUCCACUUUGUGAUAGACAUUCGUUCAAAUGUGGACAGAAAGGAGACUCAAAAAUUUACAGUUUUACUGGAUAAGAAAGCCAAGAAAUUCUCCUUGCACAUCACAGCCACACAGGCUGAAGAUUCAGCCAUCUACUUCUGUGCAGCAAUUACUACAGGUGGUAUAUUCAGAGGUGAAGAUUUAGAGACGGGUUCUGGAAGUAAGCGAGUAUGUGUUGCAUUUGUCUUUUUGGGUCUGCGAUACUCCACUCAGUAUAUUUUCUAG